rnacentral:lncRNA from 1 species
AUGUCACCGCUUUUUUUUUCUUCUUUUUUUUUUUUUUUUUUUAAAACAUUCCCAACUUUAUUAAGCAGAAUAUUUCCCCACCUUAAAACCACUAAUUAAACAACCUUAAAAUGAUCACCAAUAUCUUAACAAUUAAAUCAAAAGCAUAAAAAAGAAACAAACUUUAUAUUCAAUCCCCAACAGCCAACCCACUCACCUUUAGGGAGUGUCUUGAACAACUUGUUAAAAAAGAAACUGAAACUUCAAUGUUCUAACCAUCACCAACUAACCGCCACCGGACUUCCGACCACAUACUUCCCAUCCGACCACUCGAUCCGACCAAACGCAUUCGAACCCGCUGCCAUGUCACCCACCGUAAAUGUCACCGUGUACGAUUGUUUCUCAUUGACUUUAGAAAAAGUCAAAGUAUUAGGAACCACGGACAUUUGUACCCCUUUGCUAUCAGAGAAUGUAGUAACCUUGUAAGUCGAUGCGGGACCGACAUUAGUCAAGGUUCUAGUGUGUUUAACAACUGUAGAUCCGGUUUUACCGGUCGAAUCCGAUGAAACCACAACCGCAAAAGACGGAUAGUUAAGAUUACCAAUUGAGUAACUUUUAGUGGUGUCACAAGUAGUGUUUCUUUUUGUCACAACUUGUAUUUGGGCCGGGGUAUAAUUUAACGCACAUAGGAAAUCAAAAUAAUCAUCCGCGGUUAAAUCAUACACCAACCCAGGAUUAACCGCGGAUACAGGAUCCACGUGUCCUGCACCGUGAUCAAAUGGUGUAGACGGUUUUCCUGUGGCUAGAUCUUCAAUAAUCUUUCCAUUUUUGUAAGCCGUGUAUGCGGUCGUCAUUAGGGCAGACCUGAUCGCGGCCGGACUCCACUCCGGCCGCGCCGCCUUCAGCAACGCUGCAAGCCCGCUAACGUGCGGACACGACAUCGACGUGCCGGAGAUUAUAUUAAACUCCACGCGCCGGGUGUCAUCUGGUAAACCAGUUGGACCAACCGCCCCGGACCAACCCGCCAGGAUAUUGACCCCCGGUGCGAUGAUAUCCGGUUUCAAAAUCUCCGGCGUGAUCGUGUUCGGUCCCCGGGAACUAAACGACGCCACCACCGGCGACGGCUGAAUUCCCAGCUUU